rnacentral:sRNA from 1 species
UUUAUUUAUCACACCUGAACGAACACACAAAAACCUCACACAAAGUAGUCGUAGGGGCGUUUAUUUAGCAAUGUAAAGAGUGGGGCCAAGCACACACGCACACACACACACACACACACAGAUACGUAUACGUGUGCUUACGCGGGAAAUGACCGCAAACACGGCGGGGAAAAGCUGCACCAGUCGCCAGUCGCCAGUCUGUAGUCCCACAGAACCUGCACCGCGCCGCACCACACCUGCCUCUGGUCUGCCCCAUGCAACCUCAACGAGCUGUAUAUCUAAUUGUAUGUGCCUUGUGUGGCCAAAACUAUGUUUGCAACUCAAUCGUUUCGGAACCACAAAAAAUAGAAUAAACAAUAGUAUAUAAAUAAAAAGUAUGGAAAUCUGAUUCCUAUAUCAUAGCUAUCAUAGGAUCGAUUGAUGCAAAAGGGU